GGUUAAGCGACUAAGCGUACACGGUGGAUGCCCUGGCAGUCAGAGGCGAUGAAGGACGUGCUAAUCUGCGAUAAGCGUCGGUGAGGUGAUAUGAACCGUUAUAACCGGCGAUUUCCGAAUGGGGAAACCCAGUGUGUUUCGACACACUAUCAUUAACUGAAUCCAUAGGUUAAUGAGGCGAACCGGGGGAACUGAAACAUCUAAGUACCCCGAGGAAAAGAAAUCAACCGAGAUUCCCCCAGUAGCGGCGAGCGAACGGGGAGGAGCCCAGAGCCUGAAUCAGUGUGUGUGUUAGUGGAAGCGUCUGGAAAGGCGCGCGAUACAGGGUGACAGCCCCGUACACAAAAAUGCACAUAUUGUGAGCUCGAUGAGUAGGGCGGGACACGUGGUAUCCUGUCUGAAUAUGGGGGGACCAUCCUCCAAGGCUAAAUACUCCUGACUGACCGAUAGUGAACCAGUACCGUGAGGGAAAGGCGAAAAGAACCCCGGCGAGGGGAGUGAAAAAGAACCUGAAACCGUGUACGUACAAGCAGUGGGAGCCUCUUUAUGAGGUGACUGCGUACCUUUUGUAUAAUGGGUCAGCGACUUAUAUUCUGUAGCAAGGUUAACCGAAUAGGGGAGCCGAAGGGAAACCGAGUCUUAACUGGGCGUUAAGUUGCAGGGUAUAGACCCGAAACCCGGUGAUCUAGCCAUGGGCAGGUUGAAGGUUGGGUAACACUAACUGGAGGACCGAACCGACUAAUGUUGAAAAAUUAGCGGAUGACUUGUGGCUGGGGGUGAAAGGCCAAUCAAACCGGGAGAUAGCUGGUUCUCCCCGAAAGCUAUUUAGGUAGCGCCUCGUGAAUUCAUCUCCGGGGGUAGAGCACUGUUUCGGCAAGGGGGUCAUCCCGACUUACCAACCCGAUGCAAACUGCGAAUACCGGAGAAUGUUAUCACGGGAGACACACGGCGGGUGCUAACGUCCGUCGUGAAGAGGGAAACAACCCAGACCGCCAGCUAAGGUCCCAAAGUCAUGGUUAAGUGGGAAACGAUGUGGGAAGGCCCAGACAGCCAGGAUGUUGGCUUAGAAGCAGCCAUCAUUUAAAGAAAGCGUAAUAGCUCACUGGUCGAGUCGGCCUGCGCGGAAGAUGUAACGGGGCUAAACCAUGCACCGAAGCUGCGGCAGCGACACUAUGUGUUGUUGGGUAGGGGAGCGUUCUGUAAGCCUGUGAAGGUGGCCUGUGAGGGUUGCUGGAGGUAUCAGAAGUGCGAAUGCUGACAUAAGUAACGAUAAAGCGGGUGAAAAGCCCGCUCGCCGGAAGACCAAGGGUUCCUGUCCAACGUUAAUCGGGGCAGGGUGAGUCGACCCCUAAGGCGAGGCCGAAAGGCGUAGUCGAUGGGAAACAGGUUAAUAUUCCUGUACUUGGUGUUACUGCGAAGGGGGGACGGAGAAGGCUAUGUUGGCCGGGCGACGGUUGUCCCGGUUUAAGCGUGUAGGCUGGUUUUCCAGGCAAAUCCGGAAAACCAAGGCUGAGGCGUGAUGACGAGGCACUACGGUGCUGAAGCGACAAAUGCCCUGCUUCCAGGAAAAGCCUCUAAGCAUCAGGUAACAUCAAAUCGUACCCCAAACCGACACAGGUGGUCAGGUAGAGAAUACCAAGGCGCUUGAGAGAACUCGGGUGAAGGAACUAGGCAAAAUGGUGCCGUAACUUCGGGAGAAGGCACGCUGAUAUGUAGGUGAAGCGACUUGCUCGUGGAGCUGAAAUCAGUCGAAGAUACCAGCUGGCUGCAACUGUUUAUUAAAAACACAGCACUGUGCAAACACGAAAGUGGAUGUAUACGGUGUGACGCCUGCCCGGUGCCGGAAGGUUAAUUGAUGGGGUUAGCGGUAACGCGAAGCUCUUGAUCGAAGCCCCGGUAAACGGCGGCCGUAACUAUAACGGUCCUAAGGUAGCGAAAUUCCUUGUCGGGUAAGUUCCGACCUGCACGAAUGGCGUAAUGAUGGCCAGGCUGUCUCCACCCGAGACUCAGUGAAAUUGAACUCGCUGUGAAGAUGCAGUGUACCCGCGGCAAGACGGAAAGACCCCGUGAACCUUUACUAUAGCUUGACACUGAACAUUGAGCCUUGAUGUGUAGGAUAGGUGGGAGGCUUUGAAGUGUGGACGCCAGUCUGCAUGGAGCCGACCUUGAAAUACCACCCUUUAAUGUUUGAUGUUCUAACGUUGGCCCGUAAUCCGGGUUGCGGACAGUGUCUGGUGGGUAGUUUGACUGGGGCGGUCUCCUCCUAAAGAGUAACGGAGGAGCACGAAGGUUGGCUAAUCCUGGUCGGACAUCAGGAGGUUAGUGCAAUGGCAUAAGCCAGCUUGACUGCGAGCGUGACGGCGCGAGCAGGUGCGAAAGCAGGUCAUAGUGAUCCGGUGGUUCUGAAUGGAAGGGCCAUCGCUCAACGGAUAAAAGGUACUCCGGGGAUAACAGGCUGAUACCGCCCAAGAGUUCAUAUCGACGGCGGUGUUUGGCACCUCGAUGUCGGCUCAUCACAUCCUGGGGCUGAAGUAGGUCCCAAGGGUAUGGCUGUUCGCCAUUUAAAGUGGUACGCGAGCUGGGUUUAGAACGUCGUGAGACAGUUCGGUCCCUAUCUGCCGUGGGCGCUGGAGAACUGAGGGGGGCUGCUCCUAGUACGAGAGGACCGGAGUGGACGCAUCACUGGUGUUCGGGUUGUCAUGCCAAUGGCACUGCCCGGUAGCUAAAUGCGGAAGAGAUAAGUGCUGAAAGCAUCUAAGCACGAAACUUGCCCCGAGAUGAGUUCUCCCUGAGACUUAGAGUCUCCUGAAGGAACGUUGAAGACGACGACGUUGAUAGGCCGGGUGUGUAAGCGCAGCGAUGCGUUGAGCUAACCGGUACUAAUGAACCGUGAGGCUUAACCUU
rnacentral:rRNA from 1 species